AUGCGCCGUGGCCUGGAGCUCCCGACUCUCGACGCCCCGCGAAUCGACAGAGGCUGUGUUCAACGACUUCCGGAUGGCGCUGUCAUCCCGGCUUCAGGCAGGAGGUCCCGAAACCGCACAGCGGACACGCCGACGAGGAGUGCGCGCCGAAGAAACAGCACUACCAGCCCGCUCAGCAUUGAGACUCGUGGUCGGUCGCCGCUGCCUUCUCCGCGCACUACUCACCGAGACAUCAUCGAGCUGAGACCUUCGUCGGCUGGCUCUGGGAGCAACGAAAGAUCACCGCCUUCUUCUCGCACUACAUUCCAGGACAUCAUCGAGUUGCGCCCUUCCUCAACUGCUCCUGAUUGGCUGCAUCGCGUGAACCCGGGCCUGGGAUUGCCGGCGUCGAUCACACCACCGGUCUGGCCUUCUUGCUCGCCGCCUCGUCUCAUGCGCCGUGCAACCUCCUCGACUACAGGCUCCUCUUUGGGCGCGACUCCAUGCACCGACAGCCCGACGUGCACCCCGGUCUUUGUACCGCGAACGCCCACCUCCUCCCCGCCGAGGACGCCUUCUAUCAGAAGAAUGAGGUCGCCAACGCGCAAUGGGCCGACUAAUCUGUUGCAGCCAUCGCCGCCUCUUCUGGAUGGCUGCACCCCGACGCACCCUUCUAGCUUGCUUCGCCUAUCCAGAACUUCUCCGACCCCAAGUUUGCCAGCGGGGGUCACCUCUGCUCCUCAAAGCUCCCAGGAGGACUGUUUCGACCAGCCAGAGCAGAGCACCCCCAUCUUUGUGCCUUGUCAGCAGGCCCUGCUGCCAUCGCCAACGCCAAGAUCAACCCCGCCCAGGCCACCGACGAGAAGAAGGAAGACCUUGGUUGGUAUCUUCAGUUUCACAGUGGGACGUAGUAGCCCGCGACUCCAGGCCAAGAACCGAUCGACGCCUAUCACAAAAUUAGCGGAGAAGCUGCUUUGCCAAAGGCUGGGUAUCAUAGAGGAAGGUGAAAUGAUGACUGAGGAGGCCAUCAACAAGUAUGUCGCAUUGUUCAAUGGUAAACUGCCAGACAUUGCGGUAGCGGCUUUGUGUGCACUGUUCAAGCUUGACUGUGACCUGGCCACUGCUGUCGAAGACGCCCUAGUUGAGCAUGGUGGCGACACGGCCCCAGACCUACAUGCCAUGGGAAGUGAGGAGGCCACGGCGAUGGCAUGA
rnacentral:rRNA from 1 species